rnacentral:rRNA from 1 species
CGGACGGGUGAGUAAUGUCUGGGAAACUGCCUGAUGGAGGGGGAUAACUACUGGAAACGGUAGCUAAUACCGCAUAACGUCGCAAGACCAAAGAGGGGGACCUUCGGGCCUCUUGCCAUCGGAUGUGCCCAGAUGGGAUUAGCUAGUAGGUGGGGUAACGGCUCACCUAGGCGACGAUCCCUAGCUGGUCUGAGAGGAUGACCAGCCACGCUGGAACUGAGACACGGUCCAG